CUUGAUUUGUAUCUAAUCAAGAAUGCAAAAAUCCCAUUUUUCAUCAAUGGAGAAAGUGAAUUUCAGAACCAAAAUCAUCAGCAGACACCUAAAUCAAGAAACCCCAUCACCCAAUUUGUUGCUCCAAUCCAUCCCAUGUCUCAGCUACAACCCACCUGAGCUUUUAGAGCCCUCUGCCAUUUUUGACACAAAGGAGAUGAGAAAACUCAUGGAUGGUCAUAAUUUUGUUGAAAAAGACUGGCUUUUUGGUUUAAUGUUACAGAGCAAUCUGUUUAACCCUAUUGAAAGAGGUGGCAAAGUUUUUGUUUCACCUGAUUACAAUCAAUCUAAAGAACAACAAAGGGAAAUCACCAUGAAGAGAAUAGGGUACCUUCUUGAACAUGGGGUUUUUAAGAAAUGGCUUACUGGUAAAGGGCAUGAAGAUGAGUUGAGGAAAUUAGGUCUUUUGGAUUGUCUUGGUAUCUAUGAUCAUUCACUUGCCAUCAAAGUUGGAGUUCAUUUUUUCCUAUGGGGUGGUGCAAUCCAGUUUUUCGGUACCAAACGACAUCAUGAUAAAUGGUUGAAGGACACAGAGGAUUACGUGAUUAAAGGUUGCUUCUCGAUGACAGAGUUGGGGCAUGGAAGUAAUGUUCGAGGUAUUGAAACAGUCACAACAUAUGAUUCAAGCACAGGAGAGUUUGUCAUAAAUACUCCAUGUGAAUCAGCUCAGAAGUAUUG
rnacentral:misc_RNA from 1 species